UCCUACGGGAGGCAGCAGUGGGGAAUUUUGGACAAUGGGCGAGAGCCUAAUCCAGCCAUGCCGCGUGCAGGAUGACGGCCCUAUGGGUUGUAAACUGCUUUUAUACAGGAAGAAACACCCCGACGUGUCGGGACUUGACGGUACUGUAAGAAUAAG
rnacentral:rRNA from 1 species